rnacentral:rRNA from 1 species
CGCCCAUUAAAGUGGCACGCGAGCUGGGUUCAGAACGUCGCGAGACAGUUCGGUCUCUAUCUAUUGCGGGCGUUAGAAAUUUGAGAGGGGCUGACUUUAGUACGAGAGGACCGAGUCGGACAAACCUCUAGUGUACCUGUUGUGGCGCCAGCUGCAUCGCAGGGUAGCUACGUUUGGAAGAGAUAAGCGCUGAAAGCAUAUAAGCGCGAAACUCGCCUCAAGAUGAGAUUUCUUUUAAGGGUCGUUCGAGAUGAGGACGUCGAUAGGCUACAAGUGUAAAGGCAGUAAUGUCAUAGCUGAGUAGUACUAAUUACCCGUUAGCUUUUAAAUA